AAAAUUAGGGAGGGAAAUUUGUGACGGAAAACAUAAAAUUCCUCACAAAUUCCUUGGUCGCAAAAUUUUGUGACGGAAUUAGAGAGGGAUUUCAUGUUUUCCCUCACUAAAUUUCCCUCACUAAUUU
rnacentral:pre_miRNA from 1 species